rnacentral:tRNA from 1 species
UUCCCGCCAAAUAAGGCUUUCGGAACGGACUGUUAAUCCGCAGGUCGCAGGUUCGAGCCCUGCUCGGGGAGCCA